GAAAAAUUGCACUUUGCCCUUGCUCUGGAUCUGCACAGCUCCAGCUUCCUGCCGUGCUGGGAGGUGUCCCACUGCUGGUCUGCUCCCUCUGAGGGACCUGCUCAGCUUCCUCUGCCCUCCCUGAGGCAGCCAGCUCAUCCUCAGCAGUUACCACUCCACGUUCUUGUACUGUACCUGAGUCUUGAAGCCUUCCAGUUACUCCUGGAGUCCCCUCCAGACCUUGGUUAGAGGUGGGAGGAGGCGUGGAGUGCAGAGUACAGAGGUUGUCCCAUCCCUUCUCCGCCUGGAGACCCAAAUUUACCCAGCCUGUGGACAUAUCCCUGCAUGCCUGGGUAAUCUACUGCAGCAUGCAGGAGCCUGGGCACAUGCCCCUGCCUUUGAGUUGCCAGGGAGGAAAAGGCAAAGUCACUGCCAGCACCAUUUCCUUCGAGCUAAAGAUGUUGAGACAAAGCACCUCUGCCCCUGCCCUGUCCUUUCAGUCCUUCCUCUGCUGGUGUGUACAGGAUUCAUUCCCCUGCCACUCCUAUCCCUAAGAGCACGAGGGCAAUAAACCUUUUACUCAAGUAGAUGGUGU
rnacentral:lncRNA from 12 species